rnacentral:lncRNA from 1 species
GAUUUCCAGAGGAGUCAUCAGAACUGAGCGUGAAGAAGGGCUGUGUGUGACCCAAUGGAGGAUGCUGAAGAGGGCAUUCGAAGCAGAGAAGAACAUGUGCAAAGCAGGAGACGGGCAGAACAGGAGGGAUUCUAAAACAGCAGGUGUGCUGCAGAGGAAGAAGGGUGGCUGCAAACCCUGAGGAGGAAAAGGAUUAAGUUUAAAAAAAAUACACAGGAAGGAAUAAGAAGGAGAGAUACCAUAAAGAAAAUAUUAACAGGACCUGAUCACUGAGCGGUUUGGAAGGUAACAUUGGAACAUACAGGUGGCAGGUAGGGGAGAAUUUGGAGACUUUUGAAAAGAAUGUGAAAUUGGAGAGUGGGGCUCAGGUAA